UACAGAGGGGGCAAGCGUUGUUCGGAAUUACUGGGCGUAAAGGGCGCGUAGGCGGCCUGUUAAGUCGAGCGUGAAAUCCCCGGGCUCAACCCGGGAACUGCGUCCGAUACUGGCAGGCUUGAAUCCGGGAGAGGGAUGUGGAAUUCCAGGUGUAGCGGUGAAAUGCGUAGAUAUCUGGAGGAACACCGGUGGCGAAGGCGGCAUCCUGGACCGGUAUUGACGCUGAGGCGCGAAAGCCAGGGGAGCAGACGGG
rnacentral:rRNA from 1 species